ACUUUGAUUUGUGAUAGGAGUGUGAUCCUCUAGUAAAUUGGUGCUUUUUUUUCAGGCAGUAGCAGGUUUGUUGGCAGAUGCUCGUUCUUUAGCAGACAUAGCCAGAGAAGAAGCUUCCAACUUUAGAUCUAACUUUGGCUACAACAUUCCACUAAAACAUCUUGCAGACAGAGUGGCCAUGUAUGUGCAUGCAUAUACACUCUACAGUGCUGUUAGACCUUUUGGCUGCAGGUAUGAAAUUUUGUGAAUUCAAAAGUCAGAUGUGUACUAUAGAUAUUUAUGUUCCCCAGCGUCUUAGCCUUUUACAUACUUAAAAAUAGGAAUUCUUGCUGAGAAGUAUUAGGGCAGUGAUUAAAUAAAACAGUGCACGUAGAAAUUGUUUGAGGCUGGGUGCCAUGGCUCAUGCCUGUAAUCCCAGUACUUUGUGAGGUUGAGGUGGGAGGAUCCUUUGAGUCCAGGAGUUUGACACCAGCGUUGGCAAUGCAGUGAGACCCAUCUCUACAGAAUAUUUAAAAUUUUAGCCAGCUGCAAUAUCGCAUGCCUGUAGUCACAGUACUUAGGAGCUGUUUGGGAGGAUCAUUUGAGCCCAGGAGUUCAAGGCUGGAGUGAGCUGUGAUCAUACCACAGUCCUCCAGCCUGGGUAAUAGAGACUCUCCCUCU